UAAGCGGAGGAAAAGAAACUAACAAGGAUUCCCCUAGUAACGGCGAGUGAAGCGGGAAGAGCUCAAAUUUGUAAUCUGGCACUUUCAGUGUCCGAGUUGUAAUCUCGAGAAGUGUUUUCCGCGCCAGACCGCAUACAAGUCUGUUGGAAUACAGCGUCAUGGUGGGUGAGAACCCCGUAACUGAUGCGGAUGCCUGGUGCUCUGUGAUACACUUUCGAAGAGUCGAGUUGUUUGGGAAUGCAGCUCAAAUUGGGUGGUAAAUUCCAUCUAAAGCUAAAUAUUGGCGAGAGACCGAUAGCGAACAAGUACCGUGAGGGAAAGAUGAAAAGCACUUUGGAAAGAGAGUUAACAGUACGUGAAAUUGUUGGAAGGGAAACGCUUGAAGUCAGACUUGCUAUUUAAAGUUCAGCCGCAAGGUGGUUUCUUUAUAUCGCAGGCCAGCAUCAGUUUUUGGGGGUGGAAAAGGGUAUUGAGAAGGUAGCAGUCUCGGCUGUGUUAUAGCUCUUUACUGGAUUCAUCCUUGGGGACUGAGGAACGCAGCACGCUUUUUGCAAAGCUUUCGAGCUUUUCGUGCUUAGGAUGCUGGUGGAAUGGCUUUAAACGACCCGUCUUGAAACACG
rnacentral:rRNA from 1 species